rnacentral:rRNA from 1 species
AACAGAGAGUAGCUUGCUACUCUGCUGACGAGCGGCGGACGGGUGAGUAAUGCUUGGGAAUAUGCCUUAUGGUGGGGGACAACAGUUGGAAACGACUGCUAAUACCGCAUGAUGUCUACGGACCAAAGUGGGGGACCUUCGGGCCUCACGCCAUAAGAUUAGCCCAAGUGGGAUUAGCUAGUUGGUGAGGUAAUGGCUCACCAAGGCGACGAUCCCUAGCUGGUUUGAGAGGAUGAUCAGCCACACUGGGACUGAGACACGGCCCAGACUCCUACGGGAGGCAGCAGUGGGGAAUAUUGCACAAUGGGCGCAAGCCUGAUGCAGCCAUGCCGCGUGUGUGAAGAAGGCCUUCGGGUUGUAAAGCACUUUCAGUAAGGAGGAAAGGUUAAGUGUUAAUAGCACUUAGCUGUGACGUUACUUACAGAAGAAGCACCGGCUAACUCCGUGCCAGCAGCCGCGGUAAUACGGAGGGUGCGAGCGUUAAUCGGAAUUACUGGGCGUAAAGCGUACGCAGGCGGUUUGUUAAGCGAGAUGUGAAAGCCCCGGGCUCAACCCUGGGAACUGCAUUUCGAAC